rnacentral:rRNA from 1 species
AUUGAACGCUGGCGGCAGGCCUAACACAUGCAAGUCGAGCGGAUGAAGGGAGCUUGCUCCUGGAUUCAGCGGCGGACGGGUGAGUAAUGCCUAGGAAUCUGCCUGGUAGUGGGGGAUAACGUCCGGAAACGGGCGCUAAUACCGCAUACGUCCUGAGGCAGAAAGAGGGGGAUCUUCGGACCUCACGCUCUCAGAUGAGCCUAGGUCGGAUUAGCUAGUUGGUGGGGUAAAGGCCUACCAAGGCGACGAUCCGUAACUGGUCUGAGAGGAUGAUCAGUCACACUGGAACUGGGACACGGACCAGAGUCCUACGGGAGGGAGCAGUGGGGAAUAUUGGACAAUGGGCGAAAGCCUGAUCCAGCCAUGCCGCGUGUGUGAAGAAGGUCUUCGGAUUGUAAAGCACUUUAAGUUGGGAGGAAGGGCAGUAAGUUGAUACCUUGCUGGUGUGACGGUACCAACAGAAUAAGCACCGGCUAACUUCGUG